rnacentral:rRNA from 1 species
GACGAACGCUGGCGGCGUGCUUAACACAUGCAAGUCGAACGGUGAAGCGCCUUCCUUUUUGGUGGGUGUGGAUGAGUGGCGAACGGGUGAGUAACACGUGAGUAACCUGCCCCCUUCUUCUGGAUAACCGCAAGAAAGUGUGGCUAAUACGGGAUAUUCUGGGUCUGUCGCAUGAUGGGUCUGGGAAAGAUAUUGUUUCGGUGGGGGAUGGGCUCGCGGCCUAUCAGCUUGUUGGUGGGGUGAUGGCCUACCAAGGCGGUGACGGGUAGCCGGCCUGAGAGGGUGGACGGUCCCACUGGGACUGAGACACGGCCCAGACUCCUACGGGAGGCAGCAGUGGGGAAUAGUGCACAAUGGGCGCAAGCCUGAUGCAGCGACGCCGCGUGAGGGAUGGAGGCCUUCGGGUUGUGAACCUCUUUCGCCAGUGAAGCAGGCCUGCCUCGUUUGUGGGUGGGUUGACGGUAGCUGGAUAAGAAGCGCCGGCUAACUACGUG